AAUACAUGUCGCCGUUGACUUUUAACCACAUGUUUGACCAUUCGUCUUAUUCAAAAAAUUUAUGCAAAUAUUAUUUAUUUUGUUAUGAAUUGGUUUAUUACUAUAGAUAUUUUAAACAUGACUUGUAUUUUUUGAAUAAGACGAAUGGUCAAACAUGUGAUAAAAAGUCAAUGGCAGGAACAAAU
rnacentral:pre_miRNA from 1 species